rnacentral:rRNA from 1 species
UGAUGACGAGACGCUAAGGCGUUGAAGCAGUGUAUGUCAGACUUCCAAGAAAAGCUCGCAAUGUCACAAAUAAAAAUGCCUGUACCAUAACCGACACAGGUGGGUAGGUAGAGUAUACUAAGGGGCGCGAGAUAACUCUCUCUAAGGAACUCGGCAAAAUGACUCCGUAACUUCGGGAGAAGGAGUGCCUUAUUUAUAAGGUUGCAAUAACAAGAUCCAAGCAACUGUUUAUCAAAAACACAGGUCUCCGCUAAGUCGUAAGACGAUGUAUGGGGGCUGACGCCUGCCCAGUGCCAGAAGGUUAAAGAAGUUGGUUAGUGUAUGCGAAGCUGAUGACUGAAGCCCUGGUGAACGGCGGCCGUAACAAUAACGGUCCUAAGGUAGCGAAAUUCCUUGUCGGGUAAGUUCCGACCCGCACGAAAGGCGUAAUGAUUUGGAUACUGUCUCGGAGAGAGGCUCGGUGAAAUAGACUUGUCUGUGAAGAUGCGGACUACCUGCACCAGGACAGAAAGGCCCUAUGAAGCUUUACUGUAACUUGAAAUUGGAAUUGGACUUUGCUUGCGCAGUAUAGGUGGGAAGCGUUGAAAAUAUUCUUGCGGGAGUAUUGGAGCUAUCAGUGAGAUACCACUCUUGUAAUGUUAGAUUUCUAACUUUGAACCAUAAUCUGGUCAAAGAACAGUUUCAGGUGGGCAGUUUGACUGGGGCGGUCGCCUCCCAAAUGGUAACGGAGGCGUACAAAGGUUUCCUCUGAACGGAUAGAAAUCGUAUCUAGAGUGUAAAGGCAUAAGGAAGCUUGACUGUGAGACCUACAAGUCGAGCAGGGACGAAAGUCGGUCUUAGUGAUCUGACGGUACUGAGUGGAAAGGCCGUCACUCAACGGAUAAAAGUUACUCUAGGAUAACAGGCUGAUCUCCCCCAAGAGUUCACAUCGACGGGGAGGCUUGGCACCUCGAUGUCGGCUCAUCGCAUCCUGGGGCGGUAGUACGUCCCAAGGGUUGGGCUGUUCGCCCAUGAAAGCGGUACGCGAGCUGGGUUCAGAACGUCGUGAGACAGUUCGGUCCAUAUCCGGUGUAGGCGCUAGAAUAUUGAGAGGAGCCUUCUUUAGUACGAGAGGACCGAGAAGGACUCACCGCUGGUGUACCAGUUAUCGUGCCAACGGUAAACGCUGGGUAGCUAUGUGUGGAGUGGAUAACCGCUGAAAGCAUCUAAGUGGGAAGCCCACCUCGAGAUGAGUAUUCUC